GACGAACGCUGGCGGCGUGCUUAACACAUGCAAGUCGAACGGUGAAGCCCAGCUUGCUGGGUGGAUCAGUGGCGAACGGGUGAGUAACACGUGAGUAACCUGCCCCUGACUCUGGGAUAAGCCUUGGAAACGAGGUCUAAUACCGGAUACGAGACGCUCGUGCAUGCGAAGUGUCUGGAAAGAUUUAUCGGUCAGGGAUGGACUCGCGGCCUAUCAGCUUGUUGGUGGGGUAACGGCCUACCAAGGCGACGACGGGUAGCCGGCCUGAGAGGGCGACCGGCCACACUGGGACUGAGACACGGCCCAGACUCCUACGGGAGGCAGCAGUGGGGAAUAUUGCACAAUGGGCGCAAGCCUGAUGCAGCGACGCCGCGUGAGGGAUGAAGGCCUUCGGGUUGUAAACCUCUUUCAGCAGGGAAGAAGCGCAAGUGACGGUACCUGCAGAAGAAGCGCCGGCUAACUACGUGCCAGCCGCCGCCGUAA
rnacentral:rRNA from 1 species